UACGGGGGGGGCAAGCGUUGUUCGGAAUUACUGGGCGUAAAGGGCUCGUAGGUGGCCAACUAAGUCAGACGUGAAAUCCCUCGGCUUAACCGGGGAGCUGCGUCUGAUACUGGAUGGCUUGAGUUCGGGAGAGGGAUGCGGAAUUCCAGGUGUAGCGGUGAAAUGCGUAGAUAUCUGGAGGAACACCGGUGGCGAAGGCGGCAUCCUGGACCGACACUGACACUGAUGCGCGACAGCAUGGGGAGCAAACAGG
rnacentral:rRNA from 1 species